rnacentral:rRNA from 1 species
UGGGGAAUAUUGCACAAUGGCGCAAGCCUGAUGCAGCCAUGCCGCGUGUGUGAAGAAGGCCUUCGGGUUGUAAAGCACUUUCAGCGAGGAGGAAGGUGGUGGACUUAAUACGUUCAUCAAUUGACGUUACUCGCAGAAGAAGCACCGGCUAACUCCGUGCCAGCAGCCGCGGUAAUACGGAGGGUGCAAGCGUUAAUCGGAAUUACUGGGCGUAAAGCGCACGCAGGCGGUUUGUUAAGUCAGAUGUGAAAUCCCCCGGGCUCAACCUGGGAACUGCAUUUGAAACUGGCAAGCUAGAGUCUCGUAGAGGGGGGUAGAAUUCCAGGUGUAGCGGUGAAAUGCGUAGAGAUCUGGAGGAAUACCGGUGGCGAAGGCGGCCCCCAUGGACGAAGACUGACGCUCAGGUGCGAAAGCGUGGGGCA